rnacentral:rRNA from 1 species
GAUGAACGCUGGCGGCGUGCCUAAUACAUGCAAGUCGAGCGAACAGACGAGGAGCUUGCUCCUCUGACGUUAGCGGCGGACGGGUGAGUAACACGUGGAUAACCUACCUAUAAGACUGGUAUAACUUCGGGAAACCGGAGCUAAUACCGGAUAAUAUAUUGAACCGCAUGGUUCAAUAGUGAAAUACGGUUUUGCUGUCACUUAUAGAUGGAUCCGCGCCGCAUUAGCUAGUUGGUAAGGUAACGGCUUACCAAGGCAACGAUGCGUAGCCGACCUGAGAGGGUGAUAGGCCACACUGGAACUGAGACACGGUCCAGACUCCUACGGGAGGCAGCAGUAGGGAAUCUUCCGCAAUGGGCGAAAGCCUGACGGAGCAACGCCGCGUGAGUGAUGAAGGUCUUCGGAUCGUAAAACUCUGUUAUUAGGGAAGAACAAAUGUGUAAGUAACUAUGCACGGCUUGACGGUACCUAAUCAGAAAGCCACGGCUAACUACGUG